rnacentral:ncRNA from 1 species
CAUGGGCGUUCCUGAAUGUAGCUGGCCAUGCCCGAAGUUGUUACCUUAACCACAAGGAGGGGGAUGCCGAAGGCAGGGCUAGUGACUGGAGUGAAGUCGUGACAAGGUAGCCGUACUGAAGGUGCGGCUG